rnacentral:rRNA from 1 species
CUACGGGUGGCUGCAGUGAGGAAUAUUGCACAAUGGGGGGAACCCUGAUGCAGCAACGCCGCGUGGAGGAUGACGCAUUUCGGUGUGUAAACUCCUUUUAUAUGCCAAGAAAAUGACGGUAGCAUAUGAAUAAGCACCGGCUAACUCCGUGCCAGCAGCCGCGGUAAUACGGGAGGGUGCAAGCGUUACUCGGAAUCACUGGGCGUAAAGGACGCGUAGGCGGGUUGGAAAGUCAGGUGUGAAAUCCUACAGCUUAACUGUAGAACUGCACUUGAAACUUCUAAUCUAGAGUAUGGGAGGGGGAGAUGGAAUUAGUGGUGUAGGGGUAAAAUCCGUAGAUAUCACUAGGAAUACCUAAAGCGAAGGCGAUCUCCUGGAACAUUACUGACGCUAAGGCGUGAAAGCGUGGGGAGCAAACAGGAUUAGAUACCCCCGUAGUC